GUAGUCCUGGCAGUAAACGGUGCACGCUUGGUGUGGGAAGGUUCGACCCUUUCUGUGCCGGAGCUAACGCGUUAAGCGUGCCGCCUGGGGAGUACGGUCGCAAGAUUAAAACUCAAAGAAAUUGACGGGGACCCGCACAAGCGGUGGAGCAUGUGGCUUAAUUCGAUGCAACGCGAAGAACCUUACCUGGGCUUGACAUGGUAGUCGUAGACUUGUGAAAGCUUGUCGUCACUUCGGGUGGACUAUCACAGGUGCUGCAUGGCUGUCGUCAGCUCGUGUCGUGAGAUGUUGGGUUAAGUCCCGUAACGAGCGCAACCCCUAUGAACUGUUGCCAGCGGGUAAUGCCGGGGACUCUGUUCAGACUGCCCAGAUUAACUGGGA
rnacentral:rRNA from 1 species